CUAGUCAAACUUGCAUGUCCAUGACACUUGCCAUAAAAAAAAUGAUAAUAGUGUAUACUACUCCCUCCAUCCCAAAUUGUAAGUCAUUCCAAGAAUCUUGGAGAGUCAAAGCAUUUUCAUGUUUGACCAAACUUAUAGAGAAAAAUACUAAGAUUUGUAACGUAAAGUGAGUAUAUUAUGAACAUAUAAUUAAAGAAGAAUCUAAUGAUACUUAGUUGGUAUCAUAAUAAUAAUUAUUUUAUCAUAUAAAUUUGGUCAAAGUUAAAAAAGUUUGACUCUCCAAAAUUCUUGGAAUGACUUACAAUUUGGGAUGGAGGGAGUAACUACUAAGUAUCACUUGAUACCUUACACGCUAACAAUCAGUUAUGAACAUUUUGAUCGGUUGCCCAUCAUCAUGAUUGCUGCCUUGAUUUCAUUGUAAAAAGAUGUGAUAUAAGAGGGAUGUCCAAAAGGUGGAAAUCAUUUGACCGCAUAUUUUACCACAGACCUGUAUCAUGACACAGAUGAAGUGUAUUUUAGAAUCCAGAUUAACCUGGGCAUUUGGAAAAUGUCAAAACCAGCCCUACAUGGUAGUCGGGUUCUCAACCACCUCGCGACUCCAAAUUAACUGGCGUGGCAACAGGGUUCUAUGGGCUAUUUUCGAAUAGCCAUUGCCUGUACUACCCUAAGAAAAUAGUCUUCACAGCUGGGCCAUAUGAACUAUUUUCUUUUUGAGAACGUGACGUUCAUGUGUUUCAUCAUCAUUAAGAUAAGGAGAGAAUAAAAAAGAAUACAGUACAUUACAGUUAAAUACAGUCCAGUGUGCAACGCACCCUGACAAGAAGAUAAAAAAAAUGGGUGGGUUGUUGUUUACAAGACAUAAGCCGACCCAAACGAAGAAAUGAAACUGUGAACCACACAUUCGCUCCCGACCCCAUGCCGGUUAGAUAGGUGAACAAGCACUGAAGACUCCACAUUUGUUGACGAGAAAUAAAUAUGUCUGCACUCUGCAGACCUUCCAGUGGAAAUGGUUCAUCUAAGCACGACAUGAUGGAAGCACAUGCUUAUACGUUAGUUUGUGAAGAGCUAAACUGGGGUUAGGAUGAUUUUGGCUGCACAUAUGGCUUUCAAGUCUUUCAUUGUUUGUUUUGUGGAUUUUAAGGUGAUUUUUUUUUGACAAAACCUCUAACUUGUGGG
rnacentral:lncRNA from 1 species